rnacentral:rRNA from 1 species
AGAGUUUGAUCAUGGCUCAGGAUGAACGCUAGCUACAGGCUUAACACAUGCAAGUCGAGGGGAAACGACAUCGAAAGCUUGCUUUUGAUGGGCGUCGACCGGCGCACGGGUGAGUAACGCGUAUCCAACCUGCCCACCACUUGGGGAUAACCUUGCGAAAGUAAGACUAAUACCCAAUGAUAUCUCUAGAAGACAUCUGAAAGAGAUUAAAGAUUUAUCGGUGAUGGAUGGGGAUGCGUCUGAUUAGCUUGUUGGCGGGGUAACGCCACCAAGGCGACGAUCAGUAGGGGCUCUGAGAGGAACGGUCCCCCANAUUGGAACUGAGACACGGUCCAAACUCCGUACGGGAGCA